CCUACGGGCGGCAGCAGUCGAGAAUCAUUCACAAUGGGGGAAACCCUGAUGGUGCGACGCCGCGUGGGGGAAUGAAGGUCUUCGGAUUGUAAACCCCUGUCAUGUGGGAGCAAAUUAAAAAGAUAGUACCACACGAGGAAGAGACGGCUAACGCUGUGCCAGCAGCCGCGGUAAUACAGAGGUCUCAAGCGUUGUUCGGAAUCACUGGGCGUAAAGCGUGCGUAGGCUGUUUCGUAAGUCGUGUGUGAAAGGCGCGGGCUCAACCCGCGGACGGCACAUGAUACUGCGAGACUAGAGUAAUGGAGGGGGAACCGGAAUGCUCGGUGUAGCAGUGAAAUGCGUAGAGAUCGAGAGGAACACUCGUGGCGAAGGCGGGUUCCUGGACAUUAACUGACGCUGAGGCACGAAGGCCAGGGGAGCGAAAGGGAUUAGAUACCCCAGUAGUC
rnacentral:rRNA from 1 species